GAUAUCACGGUCACUGGGUAAUGUCUGAUCCCCAUGGUAUCAUGACCUUCCAUCUCAGGACAAUUUCAGAAGUUCCUUACAAGUAACUGGAUGAAUGAAGGGUAGAAGUUGCUGCUAAGCAACUUCAUCUAUCUUCUUCUGUCUUGCAUUAAAGAAGAGACCAAAACACAGAAGCUGGUUGAUAACUAUGAAAAAAUGAAAACAGUCACAGCCGGACAACAGGAGAAGACUGUGGGGUUAGAUGACAUUUCCAGCAUCUUUUACUGCUGUCAGUGAACACCAUAGUAGAGACCCAGACUUUGUCCAUGACAUGGAGUAUGAUGACACUGAAAAGCUCCUCUCCUCUCUGAAGAACAAGAUGACCUGACACUUUCUGCACUUGAAGACAUUGUGGAGCUCAUGGGCUGGCAUCAUUCUUCAGUAAAAGUUCGAGAAUUUGAUUUAUAUAUACUUUCUACAGUGAUAUACUAGAAACAGAUAACUACAGAUUCCAAUAACUUCAUCUUUCUGAUAGGGUUGUUCACUGUAGUCAAAGACACUUCUACAUCUGGUUUCACCUCUAGUAAAGCCAAAAAAUAUACUUGCCUCCUUACUGACCUUCCAUUAUUAGAAGACAAGGCAAAAAAGUAUUAUUUUCCCCCUGUUCUACGCACCAUUUUAAGUAUGACCCUACCUCUUACUUAAUUCUGCUCUGAUGCACAGAUCUUUCAGCUAUUCAGGCAUAUACUUGGGGGAAAUAGUGAGUCUGAUUUCAAUAAUGGCAAGAGCUCUGUAAAAAUCACCAGGGCAAUUGUAUUAAGCUCAAGCUGCUGCUUUCUCAUAGUAAUGGUCUGGAAGUAAAAUAAAACCAAACAACCCUAGACACAGCUAUUUCUUAUGGCACAGUCUAUUGUAGGUGUUUACUUCUACCCAGCAGGUCAGCCACAUAUUUUACAGAGCCAGUUCUUGCAGUCUCUCUCUCUUUUUUUUUUUUUUUUUUUUUUUUAAAAAGGCAUUCCAUAAAAGGAGAGAGUACAAACAUAACACCACAUUCGUCAUAUAAUUUAUUAACACGUAAAUUUCUACCUGCAACUGAAAGACCUGUCAGAUAUCAAGGAUUAUUGAAAGUCUACCUUGCAAAACCCCUUCCAUGCCGUUACUUCCAGUGAAGUCAGUACUACUAAACAUUCAGGUGAUAUUCAUCCAUGUGAAAAUCUUUAAGCAUUUUUAAAGUUGAUUUCAAAGACCAGGAAGUUUCCAGACAUGGAAACAGACAUGCCUCUGUCAUACCUAAUGAAUGACAUGCCUCAGAGGUCUAGAAGCUGACAUUGUAAUACACACAUCUUUGAGUCUGAAACCUUUGCUGAUGAACUAGUUUGAGUUCAAUUGAAUCAUAAGUUCAUUUUCCCUUGCACUAGGUAUCCAUUAUAAACUGACGGGUGGCUGUUCUAUAGAAAACAGAUAAUGUCCUUGUUCACAUUUUUAUUUUUUGAGUAUCCAUUGCAAUAUUUAUAUAUUUUUGGUUUUUAAAAAAUAGUUGCUUUGAUUAUCUGCUCUUGACAGAUAUCAUUACAUUAUCAGUUUUAUUAGUGUGGCAGGCAUGAUAUAAACCAAAAGAUAUAAUAAAUGUCUUUACAGAACAUUUAAGCAGCUUGAAAUCCUAGGGAGGCUGAAUGAUAAAUAUAAAAUGCUGUUGGGUUUAUGAUUUCAAAGUAUUACUUGCUGAGAAUCAAAUGUGUUCCAUUAUAUUAGGAGGUCAGCAUCUACUGAAGAAAAAGGCAUAGGAAAUCCAGCCUCCCUCAUGAGGGCUGGCGUGUCUUGGGAAAACCCAGACAGCGCAGGCAGGAAAAAAAGCCAUAUUUACUUCACUAAUUAAUAAAGACAUUUCAUUUCUUUGAGAUAAAAUUAUGGGUUUAUAGGAGGAAAGGCCUCCUUGCUGUAGUCUUGAACUGACAGUCUUAUAAUAUAAGGCUUGGCCUUGUUUUAAUGAGAUAUUUCUGACAUGUGGCCACUGUGUCAGUCGGAUCAGUUUUUUGCAUGCACCUGAGCUGCAUUGAUACACUGCUGGCUGUGGGUGGGUGGCUUCUCCCUCAGCAGUGCAGUAUGGUUAACAAAGGCCACGCUUAAAGGAGUGAAAUGGUCCCCCUUACCCCACAAACCAGUUAUGCUCACCUACAGUUUCAGUCAUUCAUAGUCUUGACCACCUCUGCUUCCGUAUUCCUUAAGGAAUCGACUGAUCAAUAUUUGUCUUAAUUUCCAUUGAGGCAAAUGCUCAUUGAUUCCCUUUGGGCAAGAAGCAGGGCCAGCUGCACCCAGGACUGUGCCUAGGUUUAUUUUACUGACUCCCAGGAGAGAGACCCCACAACCUUCCUGAGCAGCCUGUGCCAGUGCUUGGCCACCCUCACAGCACAAAAGUGUCCCUGAUGUUCAGACGGCACAUUCUGUCUUUCAGUUUGUGCCCAUUGCCUUUGU